UUAAAACCGUUCCAUUUUAUUUCUGAGGUU
rnacentral:piRNA from 1 species